UGCCAGCAGCCGCGGUAAUACGAAGGGUGCUAGCGUUGUUCGGAGUUACUGGGCGUAAAGAGCAUGUAGGCGGACUGUUAAGUCUGAUGUGAAAGCCCGGGGCUCAACCCCGGAACUGCCUUGUAAACUCCUGGUCUUGAGUUCGAGAGAGGUGAGUGGAAUUCCGAGUGUAGAGGUGAAAUUCGUAGAUAUUCGGAGGAACACCAGUGGCGAAGGCGGCUCACUGGCUCGAUACUGACGCUGAGGUACGAAAGUGUGGGGAGCAAACAGGAUUAGAUA
rnacentral:rRNA from 1 species